rnacentral:tRNA from 1 species
GGGGAUGUGGUUCAAUGGUAGAGUGCUUGCCUAGCAUGCAUGAGGCCCUGGGUUUAAUUCCCAGCACCA